rnacentral:rRNA from 1 species
CCUACGGGUGGCAGCAGUGGGGAAUAUUGGACAAUGGGCGAAAGCCUGAUCCAGCCAUGCCGCGUGUGUGAAGAAGGCCUUCGGGUUGUAAAGCACUUUCAGUGGGGAAGAAAGCCUUGGGGCUAAUACCCUCGAGGAAGGACAUCACCCACAGAAGAAGCACCGACUAACUCCGUGCCAGCAGCCGCGGUAAUACGGAGGGUGCGAGCGUUAAUCGGAAUUACUGGGCGUAAAGCGCGCGUAGGCGGUCUGAUAAGCCGGUUGUGAAAGCCCCGGGCUCAACCUGGGAACGGCAUCCGGAACUGUCAGGCUAGAGUGCAGGAGAGGAAGGUAGAAUUCCCGGUGUAGCAGUGAAAUGCGUAGAGAUCGGGAGGAAUACCAGUGGCGAAGGCGGCCUUCUGGACUGACACUGACGCUGAGGUGCGAAAGCGUGGGUAGCAAACAGGAUUAGAUACCCCAGUAGUC